rnacentral:rRNA from 1 species
UACGUAGGGAGCAAGCGUUGUCCGGAUUUACUGGGUGUAAAGGGUGCGUAGGCGGCUUUGCAAGUCAGGAGUGAAAGCCCGGGGCCCAACCCCGGGACUGCUCUUGGAACUGCGUGGCUGGAGUGCAGGAGGGGCAGGCGGAAUUCCUGGUGUAGCGGUGAAAUGCGUAGAUAUCAGGAGGAACACCGGUGGCGAAGGCGGCCUGCUGGACUGCAACUGACGUUGAGGCCCGAAAGCGUGGGGAGCAAACAGG